rnacentral:rRNA from 1 species
AAUGAACGCUGGCGGCAUGCCUUACACAUGCAAGUCGAACGGCAGCAUGACCUAGCUUGCUAGGUUGAUGGCGAGUGGCGAACGGGUGAGUAAUGCAUCGGAACGUGCCUUUUAGUGGGGGAUAACAUAUCGAAAGUUACGCUAAUACCGCAUAUUCUCUGAGGAGGAAAGCAGGGGGCCUUCGGGCCUUGCGCUAGAAGAGCGGCCGAUGUCGGAUUAGCUAGUUGGUGAGGUAAAGUCUCACAAAGGCGACGAUCCGUAGCGGGUCUGAGAGGAUGAUCCGCCACACUAGGACUGAGAGACGGCCCAUACUACUAAGGGAGGAUGCAGUGGGGAAUUUUGGACAAUGGGCGCAAGCCUGAUCCAGCCAUGCCGAGUGAGUGAAGAAGGCCUUCGGGUUGUAAAGCUCUUGCGGCUGGGAAGAAAUCGCACUCUCUAAUACAGGGUGUGGAUGACGGUACCAGCAGAAGAAGCACCGGCUAACUACGUG